rnacentral:rRNA from 1 species
GAUGAACGCUGGCGGCGUGCCUAAUACAUGCAAGUCGAGCGAACAGACGAGGAGCUUGCUCCUCUGACGUUAGCGGCGGACGGGUGAGUAACACGUGGAUAACCUACCUAUAAGACUGGGAUAAUUUCGGGAAACCGGAGCUAAUACCGGAUAAUAUAUUGAACCGCAUGGUUCAAUAGUGAAAGACGGUUUUGCUGUCACUUAUAGAUGGAUCCGCGCCGCAUUAGCUAGUUGGUAAGGUAACGGCUUACCAAGGCAACGAUGCGUAGCCGACCUGAGAGGGUGAUCGGCCACACUGGAGCGGGGACGCGGUCCAGACUCCUACGGGAGGCAGCAGUAGGGAAUCGUCCGCAAUGGGCGAGAGCUUGACGGAGCAGCGCCGCGUGAGUGAUGAAGGUCUUCGGAUCGUAAAACUCUGUUAUUAGGGAAGAACAAAUGUGUAAGUAACUAUGCACGUCUUGACGGUACCUAAUCAGAAAGCCACGGCUAACUACGUG